rnacentral:rRNA from 1 species
GAUGAACGCUGGCGGCGUGCCCAAUACAUGCAAGUCGAGCGAACGGACGAGAAGCUUGCUUUUCUGAUGUUAGCGGCGGACGGGUGAGUAACACGUGGAUAACCUACCUAUAAGACUGGGAUAACUUCGGGAAACCGGAGCUAAUACCGGAUAAUAUUUUGAACCGCAUGGUUCAAAAGUGAAAGACGGUCUUGCUGUCACUUAUAGAUGGAUCCGCGCUGCAUUAGCUAGUUGGUAAGGUAACGGCUUACCAAGGCAACGAUGCAUAGCCGACGUGAGAGGGUGAUCGGCCACACUGGAACUGGGACACGGUCCAGACGCCUACGAGAGGCAGCAGUAGGGAAUCUUCCGCAGUGGGCGAAAGCCUGACGGAGCAACGCCGCGUGAGUGAUGAAGGUCUUCGGAUCGUAAAACUCUGUUAUUAGGGAAGAACAUAUGUGUAAGUAACUGUGCACAUCUUGACGGUACCUAAUCAGAAAGCCACGGCUAACUACGUG